GAGACUAUAGCUCAGCUGGAUUAGAGCACCACCCUGCGGAGGUGGGGGUCGCACGUUCGAAUCGUGUUAGUCUCG
rfam:Treponema socranskii subsp. socranskii VPI DR56BR1116 = ATCC 35536 strain VPI DR56BR1116 ctg120007787841, whole genome shotgun sequence.